UGAGGAACAUGACCUUCGGCGGGGGAUAGCCGGCCCAACGGCCGGGUAAUACCGCGUACGACCACUUUGGGACAUCCCUCGGUGGUGAAAGCAGCAAUGCGCCGAUGGAGUGCCUCGCGGCCUAUCAGCUAGUUGGUGAGGUAACGGCUCACCAAGGCGACGACGGGUAGCUGGCCUGAGAGGAUGGCCAGCCACAUUGGGACUGAGACACGGCCCAGACUCCGUACGGGAGCAG
rnacentral:rRNA from 1 species